rnacentral:rRNA from 1 species
GUGGGGAAUUUUGGACAAUGGGCGCAAGCCUGAUCCAGCCAUGCCGCGUGAGUGAUGAAGGCCCUAGGGUUGUAAAGCUCUUUCACCGGAGAAGAUAAUGACGGUAUCCGGAGAAGAAGCCCCGGCUAACUUCGUGCCAGCAGCCGCGGUAAUACGAAGGGGGCUAGCGUUGUUCGGAAUUACUGGGCGUAAAGCGCACGUAGGCGGACAUUUAAGUCAGGGGUGAAAUCCCGGAGCUCAACUCCGGAACUGCCUUUGAUACUGGGUGUCUGGAGUAUGGAAGAGGUGAGUGGAAUUCCGAGUGUAGAGGUGAAAUUCGUAGAUAUUCGGAGGAACACCAGUGGCGAAGGUGGCUCACUGGUCCAUUACUGACGCUGAGGUGCGAAAGCGUGGGGAGCAAACAGGAUUAGAUACCCGUGUAGUCC